GGGGCCGUCAUGGUUUUGACGGAGAAGAUUCGCUUAGCGGCAGCAGUGGCCUGGUAAACCCAAAGACCAAAAACAAAUAACUGACAACAAUGUCAAACCUUGGAUGGUGCGUAACAACGCCGUCCUCGCCCGCGCUUAAUCCAGCACCUUAACAAUUAGGUUCCCGCAUUCGGGACGGACACGCUCCCCACGCUUGCUCACCUUGGGCGUGGCUGAGUGUCAUAUAGAGGUGAUGGCUGCCUGAUUUGGCUUAACCCAGACAGCGAGAUAAUCGAGCCUCGCCUAUCGGCUUUGGCGACAUGGUCGCCGAUAGGUCAAAUUCCAAUGACGCCUAAACUGUAGGCGCCGUUAGGGGAACUUCUUCGGACCAGGGUUCGAUUCCCUGCGACUCCACCA
rnacentral:tmRNA from 1 species